rnacentral:tRNA from 1 species
CCAAAGGCAGCUAUGAACCAGCGCUGGCCUUUUAAGCCAGAGACAGGGCACCCCGUCUGCCCCCUUAGGA